rnacentral:rRNA from 1 species
CAGCCGCCGCGGUAAAACGGAGGGUGCAAGCGUUAUCCGGAUUUAUUGGGUUUAAAGGGUCCGUAGGCGGAUCUGUAAGUCAGUGGUGAAAUCUCACAGCUUAACUGUGAAACUGCCAUUGAUACUGCAGGUCUUGAGUAAAUUUGAAGUGGCUGGAAUAAGUAGUGUAGCGGUGAAAUGCAUAGAUAUUACUUAGAACACCAAUUGCGAAGGCAGGUCACUAAGAUUUAACUGACGCUGAUGGACGAAAGCGUGGGGAGCGAACAGGAUUAGAUACCCCCGUAGUCCCUGUCUCUUAUAC